GAUGAACGCUGGCGGCGUGCUUAACACAUGCAAGUCGAGCGAGUGAGUUCUUCGGAACGAUCUAGCGGCGGACGGGUGAGUAACACGUGGGCAACCUGCCUCAUAGAGGGGAAUAGCCUCCCGAAAGGGAGAUUAAUACCGCAUAAAAUUAUCGAGUGGCAUCACAUGAUAAUCAAAGGAGUAAUCCGCUAUGAGAUGGGCCCGCGGCGCACUAGCUAGUUGGUGAGGUAACGGCUCACCAAGGCGACGAUGCGUAGCCGACCUGAGAGGGUGAUCGGCCACAUUGGGACUGAGACACGGCCCAGACUCCUACGGGAGGCAGCAGUGGGGAAUAUUGCGCAAUGGGCGAAAGCCUGACGCAGCAACGCCGCGUGAGGGAUGACGGCCUUCGGAUUGUAAAGCUCUGUCUUUGGGGACGAUAAUGACGGUACCCAAGGAGGAAGCCACGGCUAACUACGUGCCAGCCGCCGCCGUAA
rnacentral:rRNA from 1 species